rnacentral:rRNA from 1 species
AGAACGAACGCUGGCGGCAGGCUUAACACAUGCAAGUCGAACGCUCGUAGCAAUACGGGAGUGGCAGACGGGUGAGUAACGCGUGGGAACAUACCCUCCGGUUCGGAAUAGCUCAGGGAAACUUGGAUUAAUACCGGAUACGGCCGAGAGGCGAAAGAUUUAUCGCCGGAGGAUUGGCCCGCGUUCGAUUAGCUAGUUGGUGAGGUAACGGCUCACCAAGGCGAUGAUCGAUAGCUGGUCUGAGAGGAUGAUCAGCCACAUUGGGACUGAGACACGGCCCAAACUCCUACGGGAGGCAGCAGUGGGGAAUAUUGGACAAUGGGCGCAAGCCUGAUCCAGCCAUGCCGCGUGAGUGAUGACGGCCUUAGGGUUGUAAAGCUCUUUCGCUCGGGACGAUAAUGACGGUACCGAGAUAAGAAGCCCCGGCUAACGUUCGUGCCAGCGCCGC